rnacentral:rRNA from 1 species
AACGAACGCUGGCGGCAGGCUUAACACAUGCAAGUCGAGCGCCCCGCAAGGGGAGCGGCAGACGGGUGAGUAACGCGUGGGAAUCUACCCAUCCCUACGGAAUAACUCCGGGAAACUGGAAUUAAUACCGUAUACGCCCUACGGGGGAAAGAUUUAUCGGGGAUGGAUGAGCCCGCGUUGGAUUAGCUAGUUGGUGGGGUAAAGGCCUACCAAGGCGACGAUCCAUAGCUGGUCUGAGAGGAUGAUCAGCCACAUUGGGACUGAGACACGGCCCAAACUCCUACGGGAGGCAGCAGUGGGGAAUAUUGGACAAUGGGGGCAACCCUGAUCCAGCCAUGCCGCGUGAGUGAUGAAGGCCUUAGGGUUGUAAAGCUCUUUCACCGGGGAAGAUAAUGACGGUACCCGGAGAAGAAGCCCCGGCUAACUUCGUGACAGCAGCCGCAGUAAGAC